UUGGGAUAGAAAAGCAGGCAAUCAAUCACAAUACCAAACACGAGUUUACAAACACAAAUGGGGUUUAAAUACAACACUGGACUUUCUACAAAAUAGACCAGCUCGACAAAAGGGGGACUAUCCUACAACCAACUAGCAAGACACGCUCUCCAACCCUUAUGACUUCACCUCUGCAACUCCUCAAGGCCAACCAAAGCUAUCUGGCCGCUCCGUCCACCAGGGACUUGAAAUUUUAAUCCCACAACCGGGAUGAGAUGAUGUCUCAGCAAGUUCAACCCCCUAAACCCCUAUUAGAAAGAAAAUACGCCCCGGGUGGCCUAGCCACAUCACACAGAAGACUUACCUCGCCUCAGCUCUUAUCUGCAGGUUAGCACAAUUUAUAUAAACCAACCACGUGCAAUUAUGAUAACCAAACAACCAUGGCACAAUCACAUCAUCAAACCAUUCAACCACUUGGAUCGUCUCAGCGAUCAAUCGACUCGGCCGAUUACAUGUCAUUCUAGCAAAUCAAUCAUUGCUCUCAACUACGGCCCUACUCGGCAAAUUUAAAUCAGUGGCAUCACGGCCCCACUCGGCGCGACCUUUAACAGGUGGCAAUUCACGGCCCCACUGGGCACGACCUCUUGUAGGUGGUUUUUUACGGCCUCAUCGGGCACGACCUUUCCAAGGUGGUUUAUCACGGCCUCUCUGGGCACGACCUCUCAGAAGUGGUUUAUCACGGCCUCUCUGGGCACGACCUCUCAGAGGUGGUUUAUCACGGCCUCUUUGGGCACGACCUCUCAGAGGUGGUUUAUCACGGCCUCUCUGGGCACGAUCUUUCAUAGGUGGUUUAUCACGGCCUCUCUAGGCAUGACCUCUAAUAGGUGGUAUUUCACGGCCUCAUCGGGCACGACCUCUUGUAGGUGGUUUUUCACGGCCUCAUCGGGCACGACCUUUCCAAGGUGGUUUAUCACGGCCUCAUCGCGCAUGACCUUUCCAAGGUGGUUUAUCACGGCCUCUCUGGGCACGACCUCUAGUAGGUGGUCAAUCACAGCCAAUCUCCCAUCAAUUUCUACACUUAGGAUUUCAUAAAGAAUCCCUAUAAAUCACAAUUACACUCAAUUCAUCACAACCAAUUAUCAAUUUCAAAUUCUAAAUGCAUAGCAACGAUCGGCACGAAAUUCUGAGCAAAUAAGGUCCCAAUGAAAAUUUUCGGAAUUUAAUAAAUAAUUAAAUUUAUUCCGAAAAUAAUUAAAUAAUAAUAUCCAUAGUUUUCGAAAUCCACACUCAAUUUAUAAUAUCCAAUCAUCAAUUUCAAAAUCCAAAUGUACCGUAGCGACCGGCACGAAAUUCUGAGAAUUUAGGGUCCCGACCAAAAUUUUCGGAAUUUAAUAAAUAAUUAAAUUUAUUCCGAAAAUAAUUAAAUAAUAAUAUUUUAAUAAUUUCGAAUAAUAAUAUAUUUAUUAAAUUAUUAAAUAAUUUCGAGAUAUUUAAAUAAAUCAAAGGUAAAUUCCUUUAUGUCACAUCAAGGCUUAUAUUAAUAUAAACCUUCAUUUAGCCUUAAAUCAAACUUACUUUAAGCUAAUUAAACACAUUGAUAUAAUCCACACUUAAAUAAAUUAAACUAAUCACCUAAUCACAAUUAGCAUAAACUACGCACCUAAAGUAUCAUUAACCUUCUAAGCGAGGUUAAGUGAGUUAAACUCACCGGAUUAGCGAACCGAGCGGACCAAAACGAUGGGGACGACGCGAGGAUCGACUUUCCUCAAAGCGGGCCGAGCAUCCGAGCUCGGGAAGGCAGCCAAAACGGGCCAAACACCCGCUGCCAUACCCAUUUUUCCAGCUUCUGAUUUGGGGCUGGAGGAGGCGGAUCCGGCACCGGAAUGGGCGGAGGAACGGCGGAGAAGCGGCGGCUGCAGCUUAGCGGGCGAGGCGGC
rnacentral:lncRNA from 1 species